rnacentral:tRNA from 6 species
GGGCCGCUAGCUCAGUUGGUAGAGCAGAUCCCUCUUAAGGAUAAGGUCCUGGGUUCUGCGCCCGAGGCGCAUCCGCCU